CCGCCGCCGCCCGGCCUCCUCCUUCCACCCCUCCGGCCGGCUCCUCUCCCGCUCGCGCCGCCUCCUCCUCCCCACCAGCGCCUCCCUCUCGUCCUUCCCCACCUUCGCCUCGCCUCCUCCUUCCUCCCCUCCGAUCUGGCGCCGCCCAAACCCUAACGCCCCGCCCCGGCCCUGGAUCGUGCGCCGCCUCCGCUGCCGGCAGGAGGGGGCCACGGCGGCCGCGGCGCAGCCCGAUGACCAGGAGCUCCCCGGUGAGCAGCCGUCCGCCCCUUCCCCUUCCAAAGCUCGCGCUCUUCCUCUCUUCCCCGUCCCCUUGCUCCGCCGGCCGCCGGCCCGCCAACUCCUUCGCCUCCGGGAAGCACCGCCUUGUUUGCUCCUGUUCGGCGGCGGCCGUGGUCGAGCUCGAGCCCGGGCGCGGCGGCGCGUUGUUGAGCAUGGCUGCGGCCCGGCCAUGGCCGAGCUCGAGUGUUUCGUUGACGUUCCUACUGAUGUGCGCCCUAACUGUUGCUGUUGUGCGCCCUAACUGCCAUGGCCGAGCUCAGCUCUAUCAAUUCCCCGCCCUAACUGCUGUUGUGCGCCCUAACCCUAGCCUCUCACAGUAGGGAGAGGAGGUCGUGGGGGAGGAAGGAGAAGAGGACAUGGAGCAGCGUAACUGGCGGAGCAGCUGCAACGUCGAGCGGCCUCAGUGAACCAAGAGAGUCGUGGAUGCAGUGAGAGUUGGGUGUCGUGUCCGAUUGAGCGGCAAGCCGGAACUGCAAGUUGUUGAACAUGUAGUGCUACUGUGACUUGUGAGGAUCUCACGUCUCUCACUCGAUAUGUAUCUCUCUGUCCCGUUCCCCUUUUGCUAUUCAUUCAUGCCUGUUAGGAUCACUAAGUUUUUCUUGGUUUUGUAGUUGUGGAUUGCUGUUAAGAAUGAUUACCCUGAUUGGUUAGGAUUUAAAUGUGUUAGCCCAGACCCAAGAUGGACAGGUUUUGAGUUAUUUUUUGGGUUAGAAAAUUGUCAAACCAUGCAUAUGUUAUCAUUUAGUAAAUACUUUACAUGUGUUCACAUUCCGGGUUGUAGUUCUACUUCAAUGUCGCGCGAAUGAUGGGUGCUGCUCUGGCAUGUCUAAUUUCCUCAUUUUGCUUAUAUGGCACUCUUUUUUCUUUAUAGGCCGUUCACUGUCACCAAUUACAUGUAGCAGUGAGUGAUAAAUUUCCAUUACAUGUCACUGCUGCUGUGAAGUUAAUCUCUCUUGAAGAGACCGUCAGGAAAAGAAUCUCUUGCAAGUGUUUGUGGAUCCAUCAUUCAUGGAUUUUCCAGCUACUCAGUAGCCUGAUUCCUCCAUCUCAGGGAUUUAGUUUUGUCAGUAUAAAGUAGCUAGCUGUUGGGCUUCCUUGGCAUACAUCUCACGUUUUACAUGGAUGAUGAGAAAGGAAUUGUAAAACUUGCUGCUUUUUCUUAGUAUAUAUAUGUUGUUCAAAGGAUUUCCAAGAAAUCUGGCCAAGUUGAUGAUCAGUUUAAUACUAAUUGAUGUAUGGUAUGUGUGGUAGUCGUCCAAGAUGCAUGCCAUAUCUAGCUUCAACUAACUGAUAACAUCCUUGUUUCACAUAUUUUGCAAGUACAGGUGAUAAAGAUUCACGAGUUGGCUGUGCACAUGCUUGCUGGCUGGAAGGAGUUUGAUUCAUUACUUGAUGGCCUCAAAAUGGAUACAGGAUCUGUUGGAAUCAAGAAGGCCUUAAGGCGAACCUUAGCCACUGCAAGUCCGCAGUGUGGCUGCUUGGUGGCUGUCGCAUUGCUGGCCAGGCUCCACCUCCGCCUUGUGGUUGUUGGCGUCACCGGCCAUGCCCCACCCGCACAAACUCCUGCUCGCCUCCCAUCUUGAUGUCCACAUCCAAGUAUGGGGUUUCCGACUAUGGUGCAGCAUAACCUCAGUAGAUCAUCUCCAAAUGGGUGCUAGUAUGGUAGUUCAAUAUACGCAUUGAUUUGGCAGGAUUUAUGAGGAGUGGGUAAUCAAUGAACCUACAAUCAGUCACGACUCUAGAGCAAAAGAAAGGGUCAAGCAGUGAUGCGUCGGUAAGGAAAUCAAUCAAUAUAAGGGUCAUAGCUCGGGUUCGAGGACAAGGCCAACCUCAUGCAGUCGAUUAAGCCUGCCAGCUCCAAGAUUCCGCAAAUCAGCGAGUGAAGCUGGCCCGAACGGCCCGGCUCCAAGAAGCUGGCCCGAACGGCCCGGCUCCAAGAAGCUGGCUUCCAGGAUCGUAGCAGUGUUCACGUACAAAAACCUGGAGCGGCUGUUUUGGCGAUCCCAGGAAUCGGGAAUCCUGGAGUUGGCCUUAUUUACGGGCAGAUGCCACCGCCAAGUGAUUUGAGGAAUACGCUGCAGGGUUUGGUGGUCUGGCACAUCGAGUGCUCGAGAGCCUGGAGCCCAAGGUCAGGAAGCGCGUUGAGGCGCUCCAAAAUAUAUCCAGGUUCUACUCAAUUCGUUAGUUGUAUCUCAUUAUGCGCUGGACAAAACAACAAUUUGAUUGUGAAUCUAUUCUGGUGCAGAGUCGUUCGGUGCUUGCACCGUUGUAAUUGCUUUGGCUACUUCCAGUGCUGAUCAAGAGCAGGGACAACAGAUCAUGUAUCCUUUGCUUCAUGAACUAAUGUUCUAAAUUCUUCAAGCAGCGAGGCACACAUACCGUCUAGUAGCAGUACUAUCGCAAAGCCAGUUGAUGCUAGGUGUGCUUGAAGAUGUUCCACUCCAUGGAUCGAUAGAGUAUAAUGGCUUUGUCUACACUUAUCUUUAAGGACACAACCUGGAGUCUUGUGGAGGUGUGAAGAUGAUACCCAAGUAAUCUAGGACAUUAAUUUGUUACGGGUUCACUUGUGUACAAGAGUGCCAUGUUCUUUCCCGUGUAAUAUAUUGUGAUUUUUUUGUUUAACAUCAUGUAGACUGUGUAUCUUUCUAUGGUAGUAAACAUUAUCCUGCUUUUUGGUUUGGAGCUGAGCGCUGGACCAUGGUGAUGGAGACUGCUCUUUGGAAUUCCAGUAUACUUGGAGAAAGAAGCAAAAGUUGAGGACCAGGUUGUUCUCAGUAUAUUUGUCACAACAAGUAUGAUUUGGUAUAUCAUGUUAUCAUGUUAUAUUUCAUAUGAAAUUUGCCAAUGGCGUGUGAUGAACCUCGAUGCUGUCUAUCCUUUAUAUGGAUAAGAUGUAAACUUUGUUUUAGAUUA